UUAAAUUGAAGAGUUUGAUCAUGGCUCAGAUUGAACGCUGGCGGCAGGCCUAACACAUGCAAGUCGAACGGUAACAGGAAGCAGCUUGCUGCUUCGCUGACGAGUGGCGGACGGGUGAGUAAUGUCUGGGAAACUGCCUGAUGGAGGGGGAUAACGUAC
rnacentral:rRNA from 1 species